AGAAAACUCCUUUUCGGAUGCUGCCAGCUAGAGAUCUGCCACUUCACAGGCAAGAGUUAUCUGUAACCCAGACCAGGGACCAGCCCGUUUCCACGUUGCAGCCCGAAGUGGGUGAACAUGGGUUAGCAGAUGUUUUGCUGCAGACUCUAGGAGGCAAAGCAAGUGCUUCUCUGAACUGGAUGACUUGUUUGAAAACACUCCGUAGAGAAGUUGUGUGCCGUUGAGCUCUUUUGCACAUCACAUAUUUUUUUAAGUGCAUCUGGGGAGUGUGUUAAGUGGGGAACUCCGAGGCUGACUGCUCCCGGAAAGUGGAAAGUCGCUCCCUGUGCAGAGUUUGGGAAAACGAAGUUAUUUUUAUCUGCAUCUUGGGUUUUCUCAAGGCAGGGCCUCCCCCGCCCCAUCCAGGGCCAGGAGCCCAUCUUUCUUGGACUGAAAGCAAAGGUUUCCUUCCCCGUCCAGGCUGCCCAUGGACCAGGAGCGGGAGCAGUCACACAGGUUUUUCUGGAGCCUGCCCCGCCCGCUGAAGCUGAGUCCGAGGCGCUGUGCCGCCUGGUGAGCGUCCCCACCGCGUGCACUCGUCCCCACCUCCGUCCUCUCCGCGAUGCUCCCAUCCCGUCUUUCCUGUGGGCCAUGCUCUCUGCUCCCAGGCCUUCCAGACGAUUCGGGAUGGCAGCCGUCUACUACACGGAGAAAUCCCCCCAGCCUCCUGGGCAGCAGCGGCAGAAGGCUGUCGAGUACAGGGCUGGCUCCCCCCCAACUUUCAUGUCCCUGUUGAAGACGGUGGAUGGCGAGACGAACCAGCCCCUGGAUGUGUCUGUCAAGGUCACCACCGGCAGCUAUGAGUUUCAAAAGAAAAGAGAUCUGAGCCUCCUCCUCAAGCCUGGCCUCUUGGCAUCGUAGUCCAACGCCCAUCACCCCGGAGAGAACAGAAGCCAGUUGAGCACAGCUCGGUAACUCUUGGCCUCCUGCUUGCAUCAGCAGCAUGGCCGGCUUUGUGAAGCCCACCUACCCGCUGUCCUCCUUUGUCCCAGACCCUGCUCAGAACCUCAAAGCCCAGCAGCAGAACCUGGUCCCCUUCCUGGAAUCAGACUAUGACCGGCUGAUGCAGCAAUAGGCCCUGCAUCCCGUGCGUGUCACCCGCACCCAGAGGCGGCUCCAGCCACCCAGUUCCUGCCCGUGCCUUUCCUUCUCCCACAUCCCGACCAGCUGGCAACACUCCAGGACGCUCCAGUCGUUAGAAGGGAGUGGACCCGGCGAGGGAAAGAGGAGCAGCAUUGAUUCAAUGCAGCAGGAGCACAGAGAUGAGCCCAAAUCUCGACGAAAGAGGGGCCCUGACGCAGUGCCCCUUUCUCACUUGGCCCCCAGUCCACCGUCCAGUUCCUGGCGGACCACAGACCAGAGGUCACCGUUCUCACCAAGAUCAAAUGUCACGCCGGUCUGUGGUGGGGCAUCAGCCCUGCCAACCGGGCAGCAAUGGUCCAGGAGCUCGCCAAUGCCACGGCCAGCUCCAACGCCGCGUCCUGGACCGUUCAGAGGUAACCUGGCACCACCCGAACCCACAGCCCUCUGAGCUCCCCGGCUCUUUGCGAGACUUCCAGGUAAACAUCAGGACCUUCCGAGUCCACAGCAGCAGAAAAGUGUAAGGACUAACCUUGAAUGAGGACCGCGUGGCUGUCAGGUACCGUGUGCGUCCAUCCUGCCUUCCUCUUCUCUCCUCUCUCUGUCCAAAAAAAAAAA
rnacentral:lncRNA from 1 species